rnacentral:rRNA from 1 species
CAGACAUGGAGCUUGCUCCUUUGACGUUAGCGGCGGACGGGUGAUAACACGUGGGUAACCUACCUUAAGAUGGGAUAACUUCGGGAUUACCGGAGCUAAUACCGGAUAAUAUUUCGAUACCGCAUGGUUCGAUAGUGAAAGAUGGUUUUGCUAUCACUUAUAGAUGGACCCGCGCCGUAUUAGCUAGUUGGUAAGGUAACGGCUUACCAAGGCGACGAUACGUAGCCGACCUGAGAGGGUGAUCGGCCACACUGGAACUGAGACACGGUCCAGACUCCUACGGGAG